GAUGAACGCUGGCGGCGUGCCUAAUACAUGCAAGUCGAGCGAACAGACGAGGAGCUUGCUCCUCUGACGUUAGCGGCGGACGGGUGAGUAACACGUGGAUAACCUACCUAUAAGACUGGGAUAACUUCGGGAAACCGGAGCUAAUACCGGAUAAUAUAUUGAACCGCAUGGUUCAAUAGUGAAAGACGGUUUUGCUGUCACUUAUAGAUGGAUCCGCGCCGCAUUAGCUAGUUGGUAAGGUAACGGCUUACCAAGGCAACGAUGCGUAGCCGACCUGAGAGGGUGCUCGGCCACACUGGAACUGAGACACGGUCCAGACUCCUACGGGAGGCAGCAGUAGGGAAUCUUCCGCAAUGGGCGAAAGCCUGACGGAGCAACGCCGCGUGAGUGAUGAAGGUCUUCGGAUCGUAAAACUCUGUUAUUAGGGAAGAACAAAUGUGUAAGUAACUAUGCACGUCUUGACGGUACCUAUCAGAAAGCCACGGCUAACUACGUG
rnacentral:rRNA from 1 species